AGGGCGAACGCUGGCGGCAGGCUUAACACAUGCAAGUCGAGCGGGCGUAGCAAUACGUCAGCGGCAGACGGGUGAGUAACGCGUGGGAACGUACCUUUUGGUUCGGAACAACCCAGGGAAACUUGGGCUAAUACCGGAUAAGCCCUUACGGGGAAAGAUUUAUCGCCGAAAGAUCGGCCCGCGUCUGAUUAGCUAGUUGGUGAGGUAAUGGCUCACCAAGGCGACGAUCAGUAGCUGGUCUGAGAGGAUGAUCAGCCACAUUGGGACUGAGACACGGCCCAAACUCCUACGGGAGGCAGCAGUGGGGAAUAUUGGACAAUGGGCGCAAGCCUGAUCCAGCCAUGCCGCGUGAGUGAUGAAGGCCCUAGGGUUGUAAAGCUCUUUUGUGCGGGAAGAUAAUGACGGUACCGCAAGAAUAAGCCCCGGCUAACUUCGUGCCAGCAGCCGC
rnacentral:rRNA from 1 species